rnacentral:snoRNA from 1 species
UUCCAUGGUGACGACAGUCUGAUAUGUAUCCUUGAAAACACUCCCAUGCUUCUGUAAUGGUUUCUAUCUUCUUGUGUUAGAAACUGACAAUAUUUCCUCUUAAGGCA